rnacentral:lncRNA from 1 species
AUAUGAAUUCUCAUUAUCUAUAUCACUUAAUAUUUUCAAAUUUUCUCAGGUUUGUUUGGUUAAUUAUCUUUAGGAAACACAAGCUGAGGAAAAUAACUUGUCUAAGAUGAGUAGGAAAACAAGUUAUACAAAACCAGUCUACAGGUGUGUUGAAAAUAUUUUCUAGAAAAAUAAAUAAUAUGUUACUUAUUUUCUUGUAUUUGAUAUAUAUGCAAGUAAACAAUAUUUUCCUCCACACUCUAUAUGCUAUUCUUAUUUUUUGUGUGUGUGAAAAUUCCGACUCUAUGAC